AGAGUUUGAUCCUGGCUCAGAACGAACGCUGGCGGCGUGCUUAACACAUGCAAGUCGAGUGCGCGUGCCGUAGCAAUACGGUAUGGCGCACGGCGCACGGGUGCGUAACACGUGGGCAAUCUGCCCUUCGGUGGGGAAUAACUCCGGGAAACCGAAGCUAAUUCCGCAUAACAUUCCCUGGACUCCGGUUCGGGGAUUCAAAGCCGCAAGGCGUCGAAGGAGGAGCCCGCGCCCGAUUAGCUAGUUGGUGAGGUAACGGCUCACCAAGGCAAUGAUCGGUAGCUGGUCUGAGAGGAUGGCCAGCCACACUGGAACUGAGACACGGUCCAGACUCCUACGGGAGGCAGCAGUGGGGAAUCUUGCGCAAUGGGCGAAAGCCUGACGCAGCGACGCCGCGUGGGGGAUGAAGCAUCUCGGUGUGUAAACCCCUUUCGACUGGGACGAAUGCCUCGCAAGAGGAGUGACGGUACCAGUAGAAGAAGCCCCGGCUAACUACGUGCCAGCAGCCGCGGUAAGACGUAGGGGGCCAGCGUUGUUCGGAAUUACUGGGUGUAAAGGGUUCGUAGGCGGUGUGGCAAGUCGGGAGUGAAAUCUUUGGGCUUAACUCAAAGGCUGCUUCCGAAACUGCUGUGCUGGAGUGUGGGAGAGGCGCGUGGAAUUGCAGGUGUAGCGGUGAAAUGCGUAGAUAUCUGCAGGAACACCCGUGGCGAAAGCGGCGCGCUGGACCACUACUGACGCUGAGGAACGAAAGCUAGGGGAGCAAACAGGAUUAGAUACCCUGGUAGUCCUAGCCCUAAACGAUCAGGACUUGGGGUGCCGCACGUUCGUGCGUCGUCCCGGAGCUAACGCGUUAAGUCCUGCACCUGGGGAGUACGGUCGCAGACUGAAACUCAAAGGAAUUGACGGGGGCCCGCACAAGCGGUGGAACAUGUGG
rnacentral:rRNA from 1 species